rnacentral:rRNA from 1 species
UACGUAGGGUGCGAGCGUUUAAUCGGAAUUACUGGGGCGUAAAGCGUGCGCAGGCGGUGAUGUAAGACCGAUGUGGAAAUCCCCGGGCUUAACCUGGGAACUGCAUUGGUGACUGCAUUGCUGGAGUAUGGCAGAGGGGGGUGGAAUUCCACGUGUAGCAGUGAAAUGCGUAGAGAUGUGGAGGAACACCGAUGGCGAAGGCAGCCCCCUGGGCAAUGACUGACGCUCGAUGACACGAAAGCGUGGGGAGCAAACAGG